rnacentral:rRNA from 1 species
GUGGGGAAUAUUGGGCAAUGGGCGAAAGCCUGACCCAGCAACGCCGCGUGAGGGAAGAAGGCCUUCGGGUUGUAAACCUCUGUCCUUGGUGACGAAAAAAAUGACGGUAGCCAAGGAGGAAGCCCCGGCUAACUACGUGCCAGCAGCCGCGGUAAUACGUAGGGGGCGAGCGUUGUCCGGAAUUACUGGGCGUAAAGGGUGCGUAGGUGGCCUUUUAAGUUGGAUGUGAAAUACCCGGGCUUAACUUGGGGGGUGCAUCUAAUACUGGAGGGCUAGAGUGCAGGAGAGGGAAGCGGAAUUCCUAGUGUAGCGGUGAAAUGCGUAGAUAUUAGGAGGAACACCAGUGGCGAAGGCGGCUUUCUGGACUGUAACUGACACUGAGGCACGAAAGCGUGGGGAGCAAACAGGAUUAGAUACCCGGGUAGUCC